rnacentral:rRNA from 1 species
GACGAACGCUGGCGGCGUGCUUAACACAUGCAAGUCGAACGGAAAGGCUUCUUUCGGGGGGUACUCGAGUGGCGAACGGGUGAGUAACACGUGAGUAACCUGCCCUUGACUUUGGGAUAACUUCAGGAAACUGGGGCUAAUACCGGAUAGGAGCUCCUGCUGCAUGGUGGGGGUUGGAAAGUUUCGGCGGUUGGGGAUGGACUCGCGGCUUAUCAGCUUGUUGGUGGGGUAGUGGCUUACCAAGGCUUUGACGGGUAGCCGGCCUGAGAGGGUGACCGGCCACAUAGGGACUGAGAUACGGCCCAGACUCCGACGGGAGGCAGCAGUGGGGAAAAUUGCACAAUGGGUGGAAGCCUGAUGCAGCAACGCCGUGUGCGGGAUGACGGCCUUCGGGUUGUAAACCGCUUUCGCUCAUGACGAAGCUUUGUGUGACGGUAGUGGGUAAAGAAGCACCGGCUAACUACGUG